AUUGAACGCUGGCGGCAGGCUUAACACAUGCAAGUCGAGCGAGCGGCGGCCGGGUGAGUACUGUCUGGGAAACUGCCUGAUGGAGGGGGAUAACCACUGGAAACGGUAGCUAAUACCGCAUACCAUUAGCUGUGCCCAGAUGGGAUUAGCUAGUAGGUGGGGUAAUGGAUCACCUAGGGGACGAUCCCUAGCUGGUCUGAGAGGAUGACCGGCCACACUGGAACUAGGGCAGGGUCCAAACUCCUACGGGAGGCAGCAGUGGGGAAUAUUGCACAGUGGACGCAAGCCUGAUGCAGCCAUGCCGCGUGGGUGAAGAAGGCCUUCGGGUUGUAAAGCACUUUCAGCGAGAAGGCGUUACUCGCAGAAGAAGCACCGGCUAACUCCGUGCCAGCAGCCGCGGUAAUAC
rnacentral:rRNA from 1 species